rnacentral:rRNA from 1 species
AGUGAACGCUGGCGGUAGGCCUAACACAUGCAAGUCGAACGACAACACAGUAAGCGUUUGCUCUUACGGGUGGCGACUGGCGGAUGGGUAAGGAAUACAUCGGAUUCUAAUCUUUCGUGGGGGAUUACGUAGGAAAACUUAUGCUACUACCUCAUACUACGUACGGCUUAAGUCAGUGGUUCAUCGGACCUUGCGCGAUUCUAUGAGAUGAUCCAGGAUUAGCUAGUUGGCGAGGUAAAGGUCCACCAAGGCGACGAUCCGUAGCUGAUGUGACAGGAUGAUUGGCCACACUGGAACUGAGAGACGGUCCAGACUCCUACGGGAGGCAGCAGUAGGGAAUAUUGAACAAUGGGCGCAAGCCUGACCCAGCCAUACCGCGUGAGUGAAGAAGGUCUUCGGGUCGUAGAGCACUGUUGUUAGGAAAGAAAAACAGUAGUUUUAACCCCGCCUGUUCUGACGGUACCCAAACAAUAAGCAACGGCUAACUUCGUG